UACGUAGGGUGCAAGCGUUGUCCGGAAUUAUUGGGCGUAAAGAGCUCGUAGGCGGUCUGUCACGUCGGAUGUGAAAAUCCAGGGCUCAACCCUGGACCUGCAUUCGAUACGGGCAGGCUAGAAUUCGGUAGGGGAGACUGGAAUUCCUGGUGUAGCGGUGAAAUGCGCAGAUAUCAGGAGGAACACCGGUGGCGAAGGCGGGUCUCUGGGCAAUUCCUGACGCUGAGGCGCGAAAGCGUGGGGAGCAAACGGG
rnacentral:rRNA from 1 species